rnacentral:rRNA from 1 species
AUGAAUAUCCUCGCUUGGAACUGCCGGGGGGUGGGGAACCGCCGGACAGUUCGGGAGGUGUUGGCCCUCGUCAAAGCCAAUGACCCCAAGCUAGUCUUUUUAAGUGAGACUAGACAGGAUGUAGCCAAAGUGGAAAAGCUCAAGUGGAGGUUAGGUUUAAAAGGUUUUCACGGUGUUAGUAGUAAUGGAAAAAGUGGAGGCUUGGCUCUCUUCUGGGAU